AGGGAAGCAGCCUAGAAGCCAAGCGGGCACUAAGCGAGUGCGCACCGUGUGUGUGUGCGGGCGUGUGUGUGUGUGUGCGCGCGGGGGCGUGUGUGUUGUGUGUGUGUGUGUGUGCGCGUAGGUGCGCGCGCGUGUGUCUCAUCUCGUCCGUCUGUAGGCGCUGGGCUCGGCGAGACGCCGGAGAGAAAGAAGAGGAGGCGAGAGGUGAACUGAGUUUGAUCCUGCGGCGGCUACAAGAAUUUUGGGGCCAUACUGCAAUACUUUUGAGAAAUCGACCGCACUUGCUCUCCGCUAGCUCUCUGCCCCCUUCUUUUUUUUUUUCGAGCAGGGGAAGGGGCUUACGAGAGAGGCUCCCUCCCGCUGGACAAAGUUUUCCAAAGUUUUCCGAGUGUGAUGGUAGCGGGGAGAGCAAACCCACCAGCUUGACUCACGGCUUCAUCUCACCUCCCCUAGAGCAGCCCGUAAGCCCGCUAUAAAGGAACAAUCAAACAAACAAACAAACAAAGUUGCACCCCUGUCGCCUCGUGUCUCCUCUCUUCUUUUAGGCAAUUUUUUUCCUCCCUCUCUCCGCUCCCCUCGCAGCCUCCACUCCCCUUCCCUUGGCCCCUUCCUCCUUCUCUGUUUCGGCUGGAGGUGCCAGGACCCCCGGCCGCAGCCUCCCCUCCCCCGCCGCUCUGGUCCCCUCCCGUCGGGCCCUCCCCUCCCCCU
rnacentral:lncRNA from 1 species